rfam:Exophiala spinifera strain CBS 89968 unplaced genomic scaffold supercont1.2, whole genome shotgun sequence.
AGCAACGUGGCGCAGCGGAAGCGCGCCGGGCUCAUAACCCGGAGGACCUCCGAUCGAAACGGAGCGUUGCUA